rnacentral:tmRNA from 1 species
UGCAUUGCGGUUUCAGCCCAAUAGCGCCAUAUUACACAUGCAGGUUCUGCCUGCUAUGGCGAUAAACGCUUAUCGGAAUAAGCGUAACGGACCCGGGGGCAGUACCCGGCGCCUCCACCAUUUUUCCGCAACCGCGUCGUUUUUACGGCGCAGGCGGGCUUUGGGGGGCGAAACAGGAUCGACGUGCGUAGUAAAGGUUAAGUUUUCGCUCGGUGUGGAUCCGCCGUUACCGGACCAAACUUAGUAGUUGCAAACGACAACUAUGCUGAGGCUCGUCUCGCUGCGUAAUGCGGUCAGAUGAACCACUUGAAAGUCCUUUGGGUUAGCACUUAAAGGCGGGGUUCGGGAGGCACCUGGCAACAGAAGCCUCCCACU